UCCGCGCACGGCGGGGGCUUGGAGGCGGAUCCGGAGGUGGGCGGCGACGCGGGGGGCGAGGAAGGCCGGAGCGCGGCUUCCCGGGCGGAUCCAUGGCAGAGAAGAGACUGGGUGGUGAGGUUGAGAAGAAGGGAGAAAAGUGGGGCGGUGCGGCGACCCACGCAGGAGCUCGCCGGAGCCGGGUGACGAUGGACGGGCGCGGGAGACAGAAGGAUCCGGCGCGGCGGCGCGCACUCCUUGUAGUUGGAGGCGGGCCUUCAUGGCCGCGGCGCCCCUCCCCCCGCGACAGCUCAGGCAGCGGUCAGAUCCGCCCUCCCUCCCUCCCUCACUCCUCGCACUGGAAGACCUAGCCGCCGGGCCAUGGUGACCGACGGCGAUGAUGACGGUGGUGGCUACCUCGACGAUGGAUAAAAUCCGCUCCGCCCCUCCUCUUAUCCGUCGACGACCGCUUGAAUCCCGAGAGGAGAGGAGAGGAGUGGGAGAUCCAUGGCGGCGGAAAGAUCCGCGCCUGGAUCGGACCUGCUCGUCAAGGAGACCCACGCCAUGGAGCUGCUCGUCAAUGUUCCACCCUGGCACACAUCCAACAUCGCCAUGGACCAGUAGCUCAAGCCGUCUUCUUCCAGAUGGUGAUGGGGUUCCCUCACCAUCUGCAGGUCAUCAUCCUUAAGGGCUCCACCAUCUGCAGUGUCUACAGUGGACUAUUUGCAUCUUCAGUGCAAAUACCUGAUUGUAUAUGGAUGGAUUGUAGGGUCUAACCACCUUGAUUUGAUUCGGGCUGGAGCAGCAGCAGCAGGUCCUUCCUUCCAUGGAGGGCAUCCACAACAUGACCCGCACAAGGAGCUCCAAGCAGACAAAGGUACCUGCUCCAUUGUUGUACAUGUUCGUGAGUUCUUUGUGAUGAUGAAACCACUGAUUGGAUGUCCUGAUUAGAUACAAUCCAUUCCAUUGAACUGUGGGGACAACAUGAGGCACAUGUCUCGUUUAAAU